rnacentral:lncRNA from 1 species
GGCACAGAAACCAUACUGGUCUCUUCAAAGGGCAUCUUCUCCAGCCAUCUCUACGCUCCCGACUGAGCAGAGCUGCGUUCUCCCCCUCUUGCUCAAACCCACAGUUCAGAUCUUUAUACAAAGGCUGGCCAGGGCGGGUGCCAGGUUUUAGUUCUUGUCCUCUUUCUUGUCAUCGUCCUCUGAGGGGUAGGAAUGCCAUGUCAACCUCUCCUCAUAGAACGAGAUGACCACCUGGGGGCACUUGAUGUUGGCUUCCUUGGCGGGGACCAGGUCGGCCUCAUCAGAGUUCUUCCACUUCAUCAGGAACAUGAGCUCCCCGCUGGAAUCUGUGGCACCAAUGAUCCGUUCUGGCUCAAAGCCCCGGGCAAAGCCUCGUGGUUUCUCCGACUCCUCCUUCUUCUUCUUUGGUUUGCUCUCCUCCCCUUUGUCUUCUGUGUCAGAUUCUGCUUUGCGUUUGCUUCCCUCAGACUUCUCACUCUCAUGUGCAGUUUUCUGAGACUGAAGGAACUCUGCAAUGAGGUCUGGGCAGUCGAGGUUCUCCUCUGGCUCCCAUGUGUUAUCUUCAUCGGAGAAGCCUUUCCAUUUCAGCAGAUAUUCCACUUUGCCCUUCACCACCCGUCGAUCCAGGACCUUCUCCACCACAUACUCCUCCUCCUCUUCCUCUAAGACCUCUUCCACUUUCUUCUUGUUCUGUUUUUUUCCCAUUGUGCUGGCCAGUUUUUCAGCUUACGGGCGACGCUGCUUGCACAGCCCCGCCAACGGUUUCGAAGGGAAGCGGCCUACGGGCGGCGGGCGGGCAGGGGCCGGCACCGCGGGCCUGGCGCGCUCCGUCUGCCUCCGUCGAACAAAAGAGCCCGGCCAGCCCCAGUGCCCGCCGCGCCGCGCCGCGCAUGCGCCGCGACCCGCACCCGCCGCG